rnacentral:rRNA from 1 species
UACGUAGGGUGCAAGCGUUAAUCGGAAUACUGGGCGUAAAGCGUGCGCAGGCGGUGAUGUAAGACAGUUGUGAAAUCCCCGGGCUCAACCUGGGAACUGCAUUUGUGACUGCAUCGCUGGAGUGCGGCAGAGGGGGAUGGAAUUCCGCGUGUAGCAGUGAAAUGCGUAGAUAUGCGGAGGAACACCGGUGGCGAAGGCGGCGACCUGGGUCGAUGACUGACGCUGAGGUGCGAAAGCGUGGGGAGCAAACAGG